rnacentral:rRNA from 1 species
ACGGAAGGCAGCAGUAGGGAAUCUUCGGCAAUGGGGGCAACCUUGACCGAGCAACGCCGCGUGAGUGAAGAAGGUUUUCGGAUCGUAAAGCUCUGUUGUAAGAGAAGAACGUGUGUGAGAGUGGAAAGUUCACACAGUGACGGUAACUUACCAGAAAGGGACGGCUAACUACGUGCCAGCAGCCGCGGUAAUACGUAGGUCCCGAGCGUUGUCCGGAUUUAUUGGGCGUAAAGCGAGCGCAGGCGGUUUAAUAAGUCUGAAGUUAAAGGCAGUGGCUUAACCAUUGUUCGCUUUGGAAACUGUUAGACUUGAGUGCAGAAGGGGAGAGUGGAAUUCCAUGUGUAGCGGUGAAAUGCGUAGAUAUAUGGAGGAACACCGGUGGCGAAAGCGACUCUCUGGUCUGUAACUGACGCUGAGGCUCGAAAGCGUGAGGAGCAAACAGGAUUAGAUACCCUGGUA